GUGGGGGCGGGGCGGUGGCCUGGCCGAGAGGGCGCCGAGUACCGCCCAGGGGCUCAAUUGCUCCGGCAAAAAGAUUCCGCGGCUGUCGCCGAGUCCUGGUCCGGAUAAUCUCGUACGUGCUAGCGCUUUCUACGCAGCCUCUAAUCCAGUUUGGCACUUCAUCUUCAAUGAAAAACCCCCACCCUCAUCCUGCCCCAGGGCUUGGACAGUGAUUGAGAUAGAAUUCCUGCCAUUUGGUCUACACAGGACUAUAUUUGAAGUUCUUCCACAAUCUUGAUAAGAAAUGAAGGGAAAAUUCCUCUACAUAAUCAAAAUGGAGUUUCAAAAGAUUCUCAGUGAAACAACUGAAGCCACUAAAAAAUAUCCAAGUACUAUCUCACAUUUACUGACUUUACCAACUAUGAGUGCAAACAAGGAUUCAAGGUCAUUGAUAUGAAAAGGGGCCUGUUGAGAGAAGACAGAUUGGACAAAGUUAAUCCCCUGGAGUGUGAAUGUGUUUCAGUAAAUGAAGUGCUAUGCUGUACCUUUCUCUUGUGUACAUUCGGAAGCAGAAGCCAUCUCUGACCCUCCCAGCUCUGCCCUGGCGCUGCAGAGCA